CGUGAGUGGUGUUCGGUGUGUGUGGGCAUGUCGGAUCCCUGCUUCGGGCAGCGACGGCAUCUCCGGCACGCCUCUUCAUUCGUGGGAGCAACUUGUUCUCGUCCGCGGUCGGUUUUCCUGUGUUGCAUACCUAUUGCGAUGGCAUUCGGUUGGCUGAAAUUGUCCCGUCUCCGCCUUGUGUCGGCGCUCCGUGCGGGCGUUCGGCAUGCGGUGGAUCUCAUGGCGUGCGUUGUGUUUCGCACCGCAUUCACCUAACUCGGUGUUUGGGUAGGCGACACAUGACGUGAUGCCCGUUGUCUCGGGUGCGGAACAUCGGGUGGGUUCGAGGCAUUGUCCUCUGAUCACCACAGAAAUGCGUUCUACGCUUUAUGCGAACGACGSCCGUACACAAUCUUCGACGGGGCACUUGUUGCUCGGGAGAAGUUGCGUCGGCGUCGGUGAGGGAUGC
rnacentral:misc_RNA from 1 species